rnacentral:rRNA from 1 species
GGAUAACUGUGGUAAUUCUAGAGCUAAUACAUGCAACUGAGCUCCGAGCCCGCCCGCGAGGACUCGAUCCACGCGCGGUAGGGGGAAGAGCGCUUUUAUUAGAUCCGAAAAUAAACCGGCCGGACUUCGGUCUGCCAAAAAAAACGGAUGAAUCCGAAUAACUUAGCCGAGCGCUACGGUCGUUGAGCCGGCGCCGUAUCCUUUGAGCGUCUGCCUUAUCAGCUCUCGAUUGUAGGUUAAACGCCUACAAUGGCUGUAACGGGUGACGGGGAAUCAGGGUUCGAUUCCGGAGAGGGAGCCUGAGAAACGGCUACCACAUCUAAGGAAGGCAGCAGGCACGCAAAUUACCCAAUCCCGGUACGGGGAGGUAGUGACGAAAAAUAACGAUGUGGGACUCUUCCGAGGCCCCGCAAUCGGAAUGAGUCCAACCUAAAUCCUUGGACGAGGAUCCAUUGGAGGGCAAGUCUGGUGCCAGCAGCCGCGGUAAUUCCAGCUCCAAUAGCAUAUAUUAAAGUUGCUGCGGUUAAAAAGCUCGUAAUUGGAUCUUGGAUCCGGACCGGCGGCCCACCUAAGGCGCACCCCUGCCAUUACGGGACUGGGUCGAAUCACUGCGUCGCUCAGCUCCGCCCGAUUUCGCUCGCGAUCCUUUGCGCCUCGGGGAGACUCCGUCUCUACCGUCCGUGCAGAGUUCUUUCGCGUGUGUCGUCGGUGCGGGUGCCAGAGAGCGCAGCUUCGCGCCUGUCUCGGCGGGUUAGUGCGUCCGGUUGGAUCACCGCUCGGCUCUGGAUUACAAAGACCGUCGGCUCACAUGGGGUGCUCUUCACCGAGUGUCCCGCGUGGCCGACAAAUUCACUUUGAAAAAAUUAGAGUGCUCAGAGCAGGCCUGAUCCCAAUGCCUGAAUGGUGUUGCAUGGAAUGAUGGAACAGGACCUCGGUUCCGGGCCUUUGCCGGUUUUCGGAACCCGAGGUAAUGAUUAAAGGGAGCAGACGGGGGCAUUCGUAUGGCGACGCUAGAGGUGAAAUUCUUGGACCGUCGCCAGACGAACUACCGCGAAAGCAUUUGCCAAGGAUGUUUUCGUUAAUCAAGAACGAAAGUUAGAGGAUCGAAGGCGAUCAGAUACCGCCCUAGUUCUAACCGUAAACUAUGCUGACCGGCUAUCCGCCGAAGUCAUUCCCACGACUCGGCGGGUAUCCCCCGGGAAACCAGAGUCUCUGAGUUCCGGGGGAAGUAUGGUUGCAAAGCUGAAACUUAAAGGAAUUGACGGAAGGGCACCACCAGGAGUGGAGCCUGCGGCUUAAUUUGACUCAACACGGGGAAACUUACCAGGCCCAGACACUGGAAGGAUUGACAGAUUGAGAGCUCUUUCUCGAUUCGGUGGGUGGUGGUGCAUGGCCGUUCUUAGUUGGUGGAGCGAUCUGUCUGGUUAAUUCCGAUAACGAACGAGACUCUAGCAUGCUAAAUAGUCGGCGGAUCGUCUCCCGAGGUCGCUGGGUUCUUGCGCCGCAGCUCGAGCCCGGGUUGCCCCGGGGUGCGUUCUCUGCCGCGUCUCUCCUCCCUCUUCGUGGCGGGUCAUCGGACUUUAGCUGCGGAGGGGAUCGGGGGUGGCCGGUGGAACCACCUUGGGUCCUGGUGUCUCUGGCUCGGCGUCUCCCCACGGCUUGAUCGGGGCGUCCGUCGCACUUCUUCUUAGAGGGAUCGCCGGCGGCCAGCCGUACGAGAUUGAGCAAUAACAGGUCUGUGAUGCCCUUAGAUGUUCUGGGCCGCACGCGCGCUACAAUGGCGGGCUCAGCGUGCUCCCCGCUCCGAGAGGAGCGGGUAACCGCCUCAAAUCCGUCCUCAAUGGGGAUUGGGGCUUGCAAAUGUUUCCCAUGAACAAGGAAUUCCCAGUAAGCGCGAGUCACCAGCUCGCGCUGAUUAAGUCCCUGCCCUUUGUACACACCGCCCGUCGCUACUACCGAUUGAAUGGUUCAGUGAGGACAUUGGACUGGCGCCCGCGGCACAGUCUUCGGCACGUCCGCUAACGUCUCUUCGCGAGUCGGGACUGCAGUUGACACCGCGGGCUGACGGAAAGAUGUCCGAACUUGAUCAUUUAGA